rnacentral:rRNA from 1 species
CCUACGGGGGACAGCAGUAAGGAAUAUUGGUCAAUGGUCGAGAGUCUGAACCAGCCAAGUAGCGUGAGGGAUGACUGCCCAAUGUGUUGUAAACUUCUUUUAUAAAGGAAUAAAACGAGGCACGUGUGCCUGUUUGCAUGUACUUUAUGAAUAAGGAUCGGCUAACUCCGUGCCAGCAGCCGCGGUAAUACGGAGGAUCCGAGCGUUAUCCGGAUUUAUUGGGUUUAAAGGGAGAGUAGGUGGGUUGUUAAGUCAGUGGUGAAAGUUUGCGGAUCAACCGUAAAAUUGCAAUUGAAACUGGCAGUCUUGAGUACAGUUGAGGUAGGCGGAAUUCGUGGUGUAGCGGUGAAAUGCUUAGAUAUCACGAAGAACCCCGAUUGCGAAGGCAGCUUACUAAACUGUGACUGACAUUGAUGCUCGAAAGUGUGGGUAUCAAACAGGAUUAGAUACCCUUGUAGUC